rnacentral:rRNA from 1 species
ACGCUGGCGGCAUGCCUUACACAUGCAAGUCGAACGGCAGCACGGGGGCAACCCUGGUGGCGAGUGGCGAACGGGUGAGUAAUAUAUCGGAACGUGCCCUGGAGUGGGGGAUAACGUAGCGAAAGUUACGCUAAUACCGCAUACGAUCUACGGAUGAAAGUGGGGGAUUCGCAAGAACCUCAUGCUCGUGGAGCGGCCGAUAUCUGAUUAGCUAGUUGGUGGGGUAAAAGCCUACCAAGGCGACGAUCAGUAGCUGGUCUGAGAGGACGACCAGCCACACUGGAACUGAGACACGGUCCAGACUCCUACGGGAGGCAGCAGUGGGGAAUUUUGGACAAUGGGCGCAAGCCUGAUCCAGCAAUGCCGCGUGAGUGAAGAAGGCCUUCGGGUUGUAAAGCUCUUUUGUCAGGGAAGAAACGGCGGGCUCUAAUACAGCGCGCUAAUGACGGUACCUGAAGAAUAAGCACCGGCUAACUACGUGCCAGCAGCCGCGGUAAUACGUAGGGUACAAGCGUUAAUCGGAAUUACUGGGCGUAAAGCGUGCGCAGGCGGUUUGGUAAGACAGAUGUGAAAUCCCCGGGCUCAACCUGGGAAUUGCAUUUGUGACUGCCCGGCUAGAGUGUGUCAGAGGGGGGUAGAAUUCCACGUGUAGCAGUGAAAUGCGUAGAGAUGUGGAGGAAUACCGAUGGCGAAGGCAGCCCCCUGGGAUGACACUGACGCUCAUGCACGAAAGCGUGGGGAGCAAACAGGAUUAGAUACCCUGGUAGUCCACGCCCUAAACGAUGUCUACUAGUUGUCGGGUCUUAAUUGACUUGGUAACGCAGCUAACGCGUGAAGUAGACCGCCUGGGGAGUACGGUCGCAAGAUUAAAACUCAAAGGAAUUGACGGGGACCCGCACAAGCGGUGGAUGAUGUGGAUUAAUUCGAUGCAACGCGAAAAACCUUACCUACCCUUGACAUGGACAGAAUCCCGGAGAGAUCUGGGGGUGCUCGCAAGAGAACUGUCACACAGGUGCUGCAUGGCUGUCGUCAGCUCGUGUCGUGAGAUGUUGGGUUAAGUCCCGCAACGAGCGCAACCCUUGUCAUUAGUUGCUACGAAAGGGCACUCUAAUGAGACUGCCGGUGACAAACCGGAGGAAGGUGGGGAUGACGUCAAGUCCUCAUGGCCCUUAUGGGUAGGGCUUCACACGUCAUACAAUGGUACAUACAGAGGGCUGCCAACCCGCGAGGGGGAGCUAAUCCCAGAAAGUGUAUCGUAGUCCGGAUUGUAGUCUGCAACUCGACUACAUGAAGUUGGAAUCGCUAGUAAUCGCGGAUCAGCAUGUCGCGGUGAAUACGUUCCCGGGUCUUGUACACACCGCCCGUCACACCAUGGGAGCGGGUUUUACCAGAAGUAGGUAGCUUAACCGCAAGGAGGGCGCUUACCACGGUAGGAUUCGUGACUGGGGUGAAGUCGUAACAAGGUAGCCGUAUCGGAAGGUGCGGCUGGAUCACCUC